rnacentral:lncRNA from 1 species
GCCAAACCUUGUUCUGAAAAACCUUCCUAUUAGAAGUCUCCCUACUUUGGGUAACUAGUUUUCUCUUGAGUUUUAUCACUGGAAAUGGAAAUAUUAAGCCGUUCCCAGAGAAUCCCCCAAAUUCCAGACAUACUCCUCCCUGUCCCCAUCUGUGGUAGAAGACCUACCCCAGAGAGUGGGGAGCAAUUGCCCAAGACGUUACAGUCAACCCUUCUUGGUCUUUGUUUUAUUGGCAUGAGGCCAACACAGCCAGGUGGCCUCUCAGCCUGCAGGCCGGUGGGACACUUCUUGUGUCCCUUUGUGGAAACGUUCCUUCUUUAGGAACAAAUGCAUCCAAACCCGCAGAGUCCAGAAUUGUGAGGUGAGCUAAUGGCUCAUUAGGGGCAUAGUGAGGGGAACUGCUCCCACUUGACAUGCUACAUUGCCCUGCAUAUUCUGGUGAUGGGAAAAACCACACCACGUGUUGACUGGCGGUUCGGGGCAUGAGGCACAUGGUGCUGGGUGGGACAGCAGCCCCAUGAGACAUCACCACCAGCCAGCAUCAUGGCUGUCUUUAGGGGGCUGUCUGCCGUGUUCUCCAGCUGGCUGCUGUGAAGUCUGGAGCCCAUGCUGAGAUCGGUGUAGUCCACGGACCUCGUUGCUGAACUUCUGCUGUGAAAUGGACCUCUUAGAGGCAGCGCUGUAAGAAUCAUGCAAUCCACACCAGCCGCUCACAGGCCACACUCCCUCACCUGAGUCCCUCUUCUCCUUGUCUGUGCGCUCGUGACAAAAGGCAACACCAAUACCCCAGACACCAGUGCUGGAAACUUCAAAAUCACGUUCAGCUGCUCACCUCAUAAUCAAUGUGCCGUCUAUUCCAUGCCAAAAUGACCUCAUGUCCUGCCCAAGACACUCGGGCUUUGAGGUAGGAAAAUCGUCUUCCCAUGAGAACAUGUAACAGGAAGCCUGCCUCCAUGUAGGUGCUCCUCUGCAUGGCCCUGGACCCCACCGCUCCAAAUGUAUGCCUCCCAAAGGGAGCAGUGUGGGUUCAUUUGGUGCUGGGUCAAGCCUUUCCUGAUGCUGCUGCGUGCACUGAACAGCAGCAGUCACAACCCACAGCAGGAGCUGCACUUGCCCCGGCAGUGCUUUGGGUGCUCAGGCAGGGAGCCUGGUGCCUUCUCUCCCUCGGGAGGCCCCGCUGUCUCAAGUGGGCACUCAUUCCUUGCAGAUGCUUGACUGGGCACUGCCAUUGGGCAUCUUCCCCUCCCUCUGAAUUUGUUCCCUGCUGACCAGCCUGCUUCUGAUGGACACAUACCUUUAUCAGAUGUGUUACUGCUUUCAUCUGGUUAUGACCACAUCAGAUGAUGUUGCCUUUCUCUGCUUGGACCCCUUUCACCAUUGAAUUGAUGUAGAACUUAACGCUAAGGGCAAACAUCCUCCCACUGUUGCCUUCCUGAGGGAUGCUGCCACGUGGUCAUCUGGCCAGCAGGAGUCACCGUUGUAACAGACACUGUUUUCUGCUGUGAAUGGUGUGUGACUUGAUCUGUAGUGUAACAUUGCUCAGGAGGCCUGAAUAACUGGAAAAUGGCAAGAAGGUGCUUUAUAUUUGCAAGGCUGCUUCAAACUCUCUCUUGCAUGCUUUUUAUUUUCUCUCUCUGCUGGCUGAAUAACCUUAGCAGACUGAACUUAUUGGAUCAAAGGGAAGAGUUGAAGAUUAGCUAAAUUUGUUCUCCAUCAAAAGCCAAUGAUGAGAGCCAGCUGUGAUGGCCCAGUGGUUAAAGUUAAGCAUGCUCCACUUCAGUGGCCAGGGUUCGGUUCCUGGGCGUGGAACCACACCACUCCUCUGUCAGUAGUCCUACUAUAGAGGCAGCUUACACAGAAGAACUAGAAGGACUUACAACUAGAAUAUACAACUAUGUGCUGGGGCUUUGGAGAGGGGAAAAAGAAAAAAGAGGAUGAUUGGCAACAGAUGUUAGCUCAGGGCAAAUCUUUCCCAGAAAAAAAACAAACAAAACAGAAUAUUAAAAAAAAAAAAAAGUGAAAGCAAUGAUGAAAAUGAUUCUCUUGAGAACAAGAAGCCGCCUUUCUGAGCUCAGAGUGUUCAUCCGACACCAUACUGGAGAGAGAAGUACUGCUUCAUGGAGCUGUGUUUGGUCUUUCCAAGGGCACCGAUGUAAAAUUUAGCUAGGAUGAAAUGUUUUCUUGCUUUUCUAAGUUGUAUUUUCAUGAGACAUGAAGAAAUAUUUUGGGUGAUAUGUGAAGAAUUCACGACCUUGUCAUGUUGGAUCAAGGUCUGGCAGCCUGCCGCAUCUCCUACUUUUACCUAAUUGGAAGGACACGGCCUCCCUCUUUAGAUGAAAAUGGCGGAAUAGCUGGUCUGCUCCGAGUCCUUGUAGCUGCUCAGUUCUCCAUCUCCUCCUCCUUCCUGGGGCACCAGGGCUGGGAAUGUCUAUAGGGAGCUGCGUUUGCCACAAGUCCAACUGAAGCACUAGAGGUUGACGUAGGACGUGACGAGGACAGCCUGCCUCUGUCAUUAAACACAGCGAAGGUGGGCUGGUGCGAUCUGCUUUCCAAAGCCUUACGUGGGUCCACUUCAAUGCCUUGUGCUCAAACUGUGGCUUAAAACUCAUUGUUGGAGGGGCCGGCCCUGUGGCCGAGUGGUUAAGUUUUCGCGCUCCGCUGCGGCGGCCCAGUGUUUCAUCGGUUCGAAUCCUGGACGUGGACAUGGCGCCACUCGUCAGGCCAUGCUGAGGCAGCGUCCCACAUGCCACAACCAGAAGGACCCACAACUAAGAGUAUACAACUGUGUACCGGGGAGCCUUGGGGAGAAAAAGG